UUGGACUGACCGGGUUAUUCAAAAUGGUUCUGAAGAGCAACCAUCACGUAAAAGCAGAAAACGGGAUAAUCAACUUGGGCUUGUGAAUCAGGAUAAGGCCCUUAACAAGUCAAACUCUAGAAAGCGGUAUUCCGAUGGCAAUUGCAGUCUAUCAACAGAGAAACCAGUGGGUUAUAUAGAUGAGAAUGCACCAGCAGAACUUGUUAUGCAUUUUCCUGUGGUGGAUUGUGUUCCUUCGGAAAUAAGGCUUAAUAAGAUGUUCAGACGGUUUGGGCCUUUAAAAGAGCCGGAGACAGAAGUGGAUAAGGAUACCAAUCGUGCCAGAGUUGUUUUCAAGAAGAGUGCUGAUGCAGAAGCUGCAUAUGGUAGCGCUUCGAAGUUCAACAUUUUUGGUUCUAUACUUGUAAAUUACCAGCUCAACUAUACUAUAUCUGUACCAUUUAAAAGUCAACCAAUGAUCACAUUCCAUGGUGAGGAAGAUGCAACACUUUUUCUGCAGUAUUGAAGAAGCAGAUUUGAUAUAAAAAUUUGGGUAAUUUUUUUUUUCAUUUGGAAGAAAUUUUCCAACUUACUUCGUCUGAUUUUCUUGUUUAUUUUUUUAUUUUUAAUAGAUGGCUGCUUGUAGCUCACUGGAUCACUGCUCAAUAGUUUAACGUUAUCCCUUUGCAUGAGGUCUCCUGCAUUAUGGGCUGAAGGCCAAAUGCAGGUCAAAAGUGCAAUUUAGUUUAGUUUUCAUAAUUAUUUUUUAGCUUUUGAAGUGUUAUAGUUGAAUGUGUGAAAGAUGGGAGGGAAAUGUGGAGAAGCUAGAGAGAGAUUAGAGAAAAAGGGACCGAUGAUCCAUAUUCUAUUUAUUUGGAAUAGCAAGCCUUUGGACCAGUUAACUAGUUGUGUGUAUAUAUCCUGACGGAGUUUUAACCAAUAUCGUUUGGUUAAAACGAAAUAAGAGAAAAAAUAGGCUAGAAGACGAAAAGUCUUAUUGGAAUUUCUCAGAAAUUGAAAAGUGAGUUUCUAAUAUCCAAGAGAGGCUAUUUAUAAUAGAAAUAAAAACCCUAAUGUGCAAAAUUAUGAAAAUACCCAAAAUAUUCAAAAAUUAAUUAAAAUACAAAAUUGACCCUCUAAACGGUGGAAUUUUCAUAUCGAACUUUGUGACAGGCCUGCGACCCUCGUCACACUUUUGAAAGUCGUGCGUCUCAAAAUUUCUUUUUCAAAAAGUUAUCGUGAGUCUCUAUCGGAUGUCAGCAGUAAAAGUUAAGCCCGGUUCAAGUCUGCCGUAAAGUCCAAGGCUAGUUGCUCCAUGUCAUUCCCUUCCACUUGUAAAGAACUCGACCUCGAAUUGUCAUCAGCAUGGUAGUACUGAAAUAGAUUUGCCACAUUAAACGCCUUGAAAAUUUUCAUCUCAUGUGGUAGGUCAAGAACAUAGGCAUUGUCAUUGAUCUUCUGAAUGAUCCGGAAUGGACCAAUCUUCUUGGCGUCAAGUUUUUUCCGUCCUCCACCACGCUUCUUGCGUAAAUACACCAUAACUUGAUCACCGACAUUGAAGGACUUGAAACGCCUAUGUUUAUCGGUUGUAGCUUUAUAUUUGUCAUUGGCUUCUAUAAGGCAUUGUUGUACCUGUUUGAAAACAUCCACGUGUGCUGCUUUGCCAAGUUGCUUGCUGCAAUAUUGUUGCAAUACUGUUGUGAGAACCUGUGGGAAGGGCAAUAAGAUCAACUGUAUGCGCUGGAACUUUCCUGUAUACAACAGCAAAUGGUGACAUCCCUGUGGAGCUGUGGACAAUAUUGUCGUAAGCAAAUUCUGCUUGGUUAAAAGCAAGAUCCCAAACAGUUUUCUUGUUAUUGCAGAUGCAGUGCAGAAAAUUGCCAAGCGUGGGAUUUACCACUUCAGUUUGUCCAUCAGUUUGGAGAUGGGCAGCAUUGCCUGCUGUAAUUGCCUCUAUACUGCUGUGUUCCUGUCGAACCAGAAUUUCUGUAAUUAAAUUUCGGUUGUACUACUGUCGUGGUUGCCAAUUAACACGCUCUUCUGCCCUUUUUGCCAUCUCAAUAGCGUCUGCCAAGGUGAAAAUCGCAGCUACUCCCAUCAUACAAUGAAUUUCGUGAUUCAGGCCUCUCUGACAAUGAGCAACCUGCUGGGCUUCGUUCUCACAGUUUUCACACCUCGCUUGCAACCUCAAAAACUCCUCGGUAUAUUCAUCCACCCUUCGGUUCCCCUGUACACAGUCAUAAUACCGGUUAUACAAAAUCUGAACGUGAUCACUAGGCAAGAACCUUUGUUUAAUCAUCUGCUUCAUUAACACCCAGUUUUGUAUGGGUUCCAGCCUCCUUUGAUAGCAUUCGUUUUGAAUUGAAUUCCACCAGGCUGCUGCACCCCCUUUUAACUUAUAGGCCACAAUCGGAACCUUGCGAUCCUUUUCUACAUUCAUAAUUUCGAAGAAACGUUCAACCUUUGCCAGCCAAUCAAGAACAGAUUCCACAUCCAACGAAUCAGAAAAGUUUUGAAGGUCUAUCUUGAUCUUGUAACCUUCCUAAUAGUUCUGUUGGGGAUUUGUAGGCACAGGAUUGGCAUCCAUAGGACUGGCAACUGGCUGGGGGUGUGCGGCGGUGGGUUGGUGGAUUCCCUGCUGCAGGGUCAGCUGUCCGAUCAUCUGCCUCAAUUCUGCCAAAGAUGUCUCAAUCGCAGCAAGUCGCGCUUCUUGGUUAUCUGCCAUUGUCGAACUUUGCUCUGAUACUAAUAUGAUAAAGGACUAUUUAGACUUCGUCAGGAGUUUUAACCAAUAUCGCUUGGUUAAGACGAAAUAAGAGAAAAGAUAGGCUAGAAGACGAAAAGUCUUAUUGAAAUUUCUCAAAGAUUGAAAAGGGAGUUUCUGCCCUUUUUGCCAUCUCAAUAGCGUUUGCCAAGGUGAAAAUCGCAACUACUCCCAUCAUACAACGAAUUUCGUGAUUCAGGCGCCUCUGAUAAUAAGCAACCUGCUGGGCUUUGUUUUCACAGUUUUCACACCUUAUAUUCAUCCACCUUUCGGUUUCCCUGUACACAGUCAUGAUAUCGGUUAUACAAAACCUGAACGUGAUUGCUAGGCAAGAACUGUUGUUCAAUCAUCUGCUUCAUCAACACUCAGUUUCGUAUGGGUUCCAGCCUCCUCUGAUAGCAUUCGUUUUGAAUCGAAUUCCACCAGCUACCCCCUUUUAACUUAUAGGCUACAAUCGGAACUUUGUGAUCUUCUUCCACAUUCAUAAUUUCGAAGAAACGUUCAGCCUUUGCCAGCCAAUCAAGAACAGAUUCCACAUCCAACGAACCAGAAAAGUUUUGAAGGUCUAUCUUGAUCUUGUAACCUUCCUAAUAAUUCUGUUGGGGAUUUGUAGGCACAGAAUUGGCGACUGGCUGGGGGUGUGUGACGGCGGCGGGUUGGUGGAUUCCCUACUGCAGGGUCAGCUGUCCGAUCAUCUCUCUCAAUUCUGCCAAAGAUGCCUCAAUCGCAGCAAGUCAUGCCUCUUGGUUAUCUGUCAUGGUCGAACUUUACUCUAAUACCAAUAUGACAAAGGACUAUUUAGACUCCGUUAGUAGUUUUAACCAAUAUCGCUUGGCUAAGACGAAAUAAGAGAAAAGAUAGGCUAAAAGACGAAAAGUCUUAUUGAAAUUUCUCAAAGAUUAAGAAGGGAGUUUCUAAUAGCCAAGAGAGGCUAUUUAUAAUAGAAACAAAACCUUAGUAUGCAAAAUUAUAAAAAUACUCAAAAUAUCCAAAAAAAUAAUUAAAAUGCAAAAUUAACCCUCUAAAUGAUGAAAUUUCCAUAUCGAACUUUGUGAUAGGCCUGUAGCUCUCGUCACACUUUUGAAAGUCGUGCAUCUCGAAAUUUCCUUUUCAAAAAGUUAUCGUGGGUCUCUAUCGGAUGUUGGCAGCAAAAGUUAGGCCCGGUCCAAAUCUGCCGUAAAGUCCAAGACUAGUUCCUCUAAAUCAAUAUGUGGUUUUCUUUUGUGGACAUUUCACUUGGUAAUGUGUGAGUGCUCACCCCACCUGGAAUUGAUACCGAAACAUGCACAUUUCAUUAACCUUUCGUUUAGUAUAAUUUAUUUUCUUGAAAUAACUAUCCCGAAACUUGAUAUGCCCUCUGUUGCUGCACAGUCAGAUUCUGAAAAUUCUCUUCAUUAUUGAGCUUGUAAAUCUUGGCAUGUGAUCUAUGACACUGUUGUCUUUUUUGGGAGAUUUGACUCUUCAUCUAAUUUAUUUUACUUCAUUAUCUGUUCGGUAUAUUAUCUACUAAUUAAAUUUUCUUGACAGGAGAUAGCAGAUGUUGAAGAACUGCAGCAGAUGCAGCACAGCUUCUACUCCUGAUGCUCUUAUACGUGCUUAUGUUAAUGGGACACUGAAGAACAGUAUAUUGCUAAUACUUCUGGUUGUCUGCUGCAUCUUUCGUGGAUGAUUUUGGCAUGAUUUGGGGCAAGAUGCAGAGGGUUGAGGUUGUUCUUAAUCUAAGUAGGUUCGGUUAGUACAUUAUAUAGCCGUAGUUUUAGCUGACCCUUGUAGUUGCUAUCCUUGAGAAGUAUGAGGUUCAGUUACAGAACCUCAGUUGCUUGUUUAUUAUCAUUUAUGCAUAUAAUGAAUUUCUUUCUGUAAAUCACAAUAGAGGUAGAAUGCUUUUUGUCCAUAUGCUGAAAGUCACCCACAGUUUAGCCUUGGCAAUAUUGAAGCAUAUCAUUCAAGCAAUGUCUUUUUCUAAGGUUUGUAUCGCAUAUCGUGCCUCUUCUGUCUGCCUUGUGUAGUCAUUUUCUCUCAUCGAUUUUUUGUUUUUUUUUUGGGAUAUAUGUUAUCGCAUUUUGAGUUGUGGAACUUUGCAAAUAGCAUUGCAGAGAGAAUGAGUAACUAUAGCAGGCUUGGCAUGCUUAAAUAGUCAGAAUAUAUAUUAAGAACUCAACAAACUGUUGAUCUUUGGUAUGUAUUGGAAACUGAAUUGCUGCAAUGGUGGUGAGUAUGCAAUUGUAAUUACUUAUAAAGAAGGAUUUAAUUCGUUAAAAACAAAGAAACCUUAGAAUUUUCCCUUUUGCCUCUCAUAAUUUUGUUUUCUGAUAUGGGAGUAGAGAUAUCUUCUGUUGCAUCACCCCAGUUCUUUAGAAGCUCUAUAUCUGAUAUUCUGUGGUUAUGCCCGUCUGAGCAUUACAUCGUGUUACUAAAACAAAUGGAGAACCUCUCAUGGACAUGGUGGAACCACCUGUUUAAUGCUGCAAGUGGUGCUCAGGUUCCAUCCAAAUGAUUUUCUCUGUUCGUGUGAGGAUGCUUCUUCUUCUUCUGUGUUGGCAGGUAAGUGUUGAAGAUGGGUUCAUGGCCAAUAUGAUGAAACUUAGUUUAGCAUUAUGGAGCUGUUACUUUGCAAUGGAACUGAUUCUUUGUUAUUUUAUUGUCUGAUUAUGAUGUGUAUUUUCUGUGUAGUGUGUAAAUAUAUACCCUUAAAUGGGCUCCAUGCAUUACUUCAUCUCUUCACCUGGAGUUUGGCGCUUAUGAAUUUUUUGUGCAGACACAUACCCCUGAUUUUUCUAACAUAUACAAAUCAAACGUGCCUUUCCUACUAUGAAAUUGUUGUUUGAUUCCAAUGAAGAAUCCCAAUUCUUCUUUUAAGUGAAUACCAACCUACGAACAGAAUCCCCAAAUUCUGUGUAAAAAGUGGCUGAGCAACGGGAUCAUUGGACUGUCACCGCUAGUUUUUCUGCUGAGAGGAAAACCUCUGUUAUCUCCACUACCACCAACAUUCUGAAUCAAUCAAUAACAAAAUAAAUAAAUAAAUAAUUUGCACUAUUUAGGUUAGGGGUUACAACUAAGAACAUACUCUAAGGACAUAACCAUAGAUCUUGGUUAUGGGUACGUGCCCACCAGCACGUAAUAAUAUGCUAUCAACAUUAGAUCUUGGGUGUUACUCCUCUUGAGGCUUAUAAAGUUUACAACGGUAAUACUGUGGUUGCAGAAAUAAUUUCCAUUUUCCUGAGAAAGGAAAAGAACACAAUCAAAAUUGGGAUGUGUUCACAUUCAAUAUGGGGUUACUCCUUAGUUGCAUAUCGAGUAUUCUGUCAUAUCUGAGUAAUUGGGAUUAGAGUUUUGUUUGUAAAACAACCUAUAUUCUCUAUGUUUAACAUUGAAUUGUUUCAUGAUCUCUUCCCAAAUGUUCAUUGAUCAAACCAGAGAUUCAAACAAGACACGAAUUUAAAUAGGAAAAGGCAAUCUAAUUUAACCAGGAAGACACAAGUUCCAAAUUGGCCUUCUGAAGAAAAUGCAACCAAAACUGACAACGGGGAAUUGGGGAUGCAAAUGCAUAUAUGGCUUUGCUAUCUUCUCAAACAGAGCAGCCUCUGAGAAGAAACCUGGUGACAGAGCUGUGGUAAAAAACUCUUCCUGAGAUUGUUUUUCAAGGUAAAAGUUGGUGGUAGGCACAUAAACAGAUCCAGUGGAGUUUGUAUGCAGAAAGAAAAACUCUGACUGAGAGAUUGUUAUCAUUCAUAUUAUUAUGUGGCUGUUCUAAUUGAUAGUCCAGAAAAGAACAUUAUGAUGUGCAAGUUAAUGAAAAAUUAGGAGGCCAUUUUUUCAUCAAAAUAGGUACGACACAUGGCACAUAGUAGUUUAAUACAGCUCAUAUAUUAGCACAAUUGAGAAAACCAACUUACUAAACAUAUCGUGCUUCUACUUCCAUAUGGAAAACGCCUUCCAAAUUCAAUUUAUUAUACUUAGUAGAAACAUGUUCUAGAUAAAUAUAUUUAUGCAAAAGGAAUGGUUUGAACAGACUCGAAUGCUGCUAACAAGUAACGUUCCAACAAUGUCAUAUAGAAUAAGCAUUAGUAAACAAAAUAUUGCCGUAUGUACCUCAUUAAGAAGGAAAGAAUUAGUGAAAUCAUAUGAACCACACGAGAUAUCUUCUUUAAUGCCAAUCUUUAGCAUACAGUUAAACCUCUUUCAUUGAUCUCCUGUACCUCCACCUUCAGUCACAAAAUCUGAGAGAGUUAUUGUUGGAAAGCUGCCAUUGGCUAUAAGACUUUUAACACUAGAGGAAGUCUUGGCAUCUUCAAAGAACUUAAGUAUUGCAUUUCUAACAAUUAUAUAGGUCUUAUCAAGCAGAUCUGGAAAAUUUUCCCUUGUUGACCAUCUCUUUUAAUAUAUUAAAAGCCAAAGGGAGCUUUACAUCGGCAAGAAAAGCACUUAAUAGGGCUACAUAGAUAAAAAGUGCCAGCUUCCACUCCUUUCUCUACCAUUUCACGUAAAUGGAUCAGAGCAGCAUUUGGCCUAGCACACUUGCAAAGACCAUGAAUAAAUGCCACGAAAGCAACACUAUUAGGAGUGCAACCUCUUCCCCUCAUUUCAGUCCAUAGCAUUUCAGCAUCAUCAGGUCUUCCAGCAUUACAUAGCCCAUCUAUUAAAGUAGUGUAUGCAAUGAUAUAAGGUUCCCUUUCAUUUGCAGACAUACUGGAAGACAACGUCGGGCCUCAUGAAUACAACCACUUCUGCACCACCCAUCUAUAAGCAAGUUAAAUGUGACAAAAGAGGGGACAAGGCCCUUCAUCACCAUCUCUUCAAAUAUAUUAUGAGCUUCUGUAAUUCUUUGAGCCUUAGGGAGCCCACUUAUUAGUAUGUUGUAAGCAACAGCAUGAGAGCAAUGCCCACCAGCACAAAUGUCGCAGAAUAGCUUCAUCGCUUGAUCAACUUCUUGAAUUUCAACCAAAGCACUUAGUGAUGCAGAAUAGGCAAUUAUAUCAGGUAGGAAGCUUCUUGAAUCGUAUCAGCAAGAAAUUUACAGGCUUGUGUUGCCUUCCCAUUUUGGCACGUUUUUCUUACUAGCAAGGUAUAAUGUUUGAUCCAAGGCUCAUGGCCAUGAAUACACAUCUUUUUUAUUAACAUCAAGGGCUCCAGAAGGAUCCCCUCUCCUGCAAAGUCACCCGAACCAUUGUGAGUAAAUUGUGUUGGUUUAAUUCCUGACUCUUUCAUUUCUCUCAGAAGCCCAUAACUUUCUCCAACAUAUCAGAAUUGCAUAGUCCAUCAGUCAGGUUAUUAUAAAUCACUAAAUUAUGACUGCAACCAAUUCGAGCCAUAUCUUGAAAGAGGGAAAGAGCCACGUCCAACUUGCUGGUUGGGACCAAACCCUUAAUUACAAUAGUAAAACUUGCUGUAUUAGGAGCAAAUACCUUUUUUAUCCUGGAAAAGCUUAUGUAACUUGACAUUAUCACCGUAUGCUUUUCCCAUCAUACCCUGAAGAAGACAAUAAGCUUUAUCUAUCAAGCUACCGUUAACAAGUAAAUUCAAACAAGCAUUGCAAAGGAAAGUCAGACCUUCUAAAUCCAUAUCCUCAUGGAUUUUUCCAAAGUAUGUGGGUUAAUUCUUCUUCUUCAGAAAAAAAAGACAUGAGCUUAGUAAAUAUUCCAACAUCAGAUCGGAUUUUGAAUAACUUCGUUUGUGAACAGAACGACAAACCUUUCUCAAGCUCAUUACUACUGCAGAGCCCUCUAAUUAGCAAAUCAAAAAGUCCUAGAUAAGGAGUGAAACCAUACUUCUUCAUCUUAUCAAACAAUUGGAGGGCUUUAUUUAUGGAUCCAUGAAGCAAAAUGCAAAAUCCCACCAAUUUAACAGUUUGAUUUUCCAUUUUUUCUAUAAAUUCAAACGCCUAGUCCGCCUCAGUACACUUGCUAAAAGAAAACAGCAAAAUUGAUGAUAUGUGCUCAUCAACCCAACCACAAUCACACAUUUUCAUAAAAACGCCAAAAGCUUCACCAAACUUCCCCGCAUCACGAUACACCUGCAACACUGGCAUCAAAGUGUACUUGUCAAACUCCCAACCUUGAUCACGCAUUUGUUGGAGUCUGGUCUCAACCAAACUAACAGAAGUAGACCUGUACUUCGAUCUAGAGAUAGCCUCUGACAAACAAUUAUAGCUAUAACUAUUCGGCGCCCAAAGACCCAUCAAUUUUUUAAUUGAUCAAAAAACACAUUAGCUUCAUCAGCCAACCGCACAGUACCCAAACGCUAAUAAAAAAAAUCUAGAGCACCACGAGUCAUUGAACAACGAGAAUUCAGGAUAGCAAAAGACAGAGCUCUCAGCGGGGCAUUUUCUCGAGCAUGUGAUAGGAUUGAGGCCAUUGUAUUAUACGUGUAGAUAUUAUGCUUAUGUCCGUAUUGGUCUGAGGUCCAAUUGAAGAGUUUCUCCAGCUUUUGAAAGAAUUUGACAGAUUCAACGACUUUGGUAUUUAGCAUUGGAGCUAGACUCUUCAACUCAGGGCUGUCUGGGCAAAAUGGCUGCCUAGUGAAGAUGGAUAUGAGGCAAUUGGUAGUUCCGGUGAAGUCUGCGGGUUCAAUGGAGAGAUUUCUCAUGGAGACAAACUUUCGAUUAAUGGGUGAAAUUGAUUUGCAGAGGUGCUGGAUAUGUUUUGCAAUUCUUGACAAUGCCACAUUCUUUCAAUGUAAAAAUAUAAGAUGAAUUUUAGUUUUAAAAUUUAUGUAUUAAGUAUUGAUUAUUAUUAUUAGUUUAUUAAUUAUUAUCAUUAGAUAAUAAUUUGAGACUUAUAAAUAUAUAUUAAUAUUAAUUAAAAAUAAAUUUUAAUUAAUUUAUUGUAUAAGGAUUGGAGGGUAAUUUAUACUUUUAAUCCCUCAACUUUAAAGUUUGUUACAUUUCCUUAUUUCAUCUUUAAUUUGUUAGCAUAAAACCAUUAUCUCUAACAUUUUUGUAUAAAAGUUGCUCAUCUUUAAAAAUAUUAUAUAAAUAAUAUAGCUCAAGUAGAAUUUUAUGUAAUAAAAUUUGCACUUGAUAAUGGCUUCAAGGUAAAAGUUCAAGAUAUUCAAUGUCAGCGUAGAAUUCACAAAAGAAUUCGCCAAUAAAUGUCGAAUUCAUUGAGAAAUUCCACAUUUAGUAUCGAAUUCAAUGUGGAUCGAGUGUUAAAGUAUUAAAUUCAGUGUGAAUUCGGCACUUUAAUAUCAAAACCUAUAUGAAGUUCAAUCCUAAGUGGUUUUGACAUGUAAGAUCCACAAAAAAUAGAUUUGACACUCUACAUUGAAUCUAUUUAAAAUUUGGCACGACAAAGGUUUCGGUGUUAAGUGCCAAAUUCAAUAUGGACUCGACACUUCAGUGUCAAGAUCCACACGAGAUUUAACACUCUGUAUUGAAUCCACCUAAAAUUUAACACCAUAAAGGCUUCAGUGUUAAGUGUCAAACCAAUAUAGAAUUCAACAAAUAAUUCGACAUCGAAUUUCCAUUAAAUCGACAUGUAACGACUCGGAAAUCGGACCGCUAUCGGCGCUAGGAUUUAGAUCGACUUAAGGUCGCCGAAACCCGUAGCAAGCCUAACAUACAUCCUGUUAUACCUGAUGUAAUCCCAUACAUGAUCAUACAUUUUCAUAAAAACUUAAACUUUUCAUAUACCAAGCUUGACUUGUGCAUGCAUCAUAACUGUAAACAUGAAAACCCCACUGUAAACAUGAAAACCCCAUACUAGAGCCCUCAUCAAAUGCUCUAGUAGGGUCAACAUCUCAUACAUCAAGCUUGGUUCAACACAUCUCAUCAUUAAAAAUAUUUACAUAAAGAUCAUGUACAAAAUGGAUUAUAAUCUAUCAAUAGGGCCAAGCACAAUACUAUCCACAAUACAUUACAUGUCCACUACUAAUCUAUUACAUCAUGCUAUACCAAAAAUCUGAUGACUCUCCCACAGCUACCUGUGCUCCUGCAAACCUGGGGGUUAGGGGAAAGGGGUGAGCUACUAAAGCCCAAUGAGCAGAACAAUAAAACAAUUUAUAAACAUAUGCUUUUAUGAAAUGCAUCACAACACAAACAAUUCACAUCACGAAAAGACUUGUCACCAGUAACCCUCUGCAUAUCCAAGUGCCCGGCCCACAACGGGAGCUCCUCAAGUCUUUCGCUUAAUCAUAACAUAACAUAUCCAACUGUGCCAGGGGCGUAGACUGGGCAACCCUGGUCUUUCCCUUACAUAGUGCCAGGACGCGUAGAAUGGGCAGCCCUGGUCUUCCUGUAGUACCCGGCUAGACUCCGGCAUCGGAAUUCCUACCGUCCGGCGGAAUCUCGGAUGUUGAAACUCUCUAGAAGGGUAAGAAUAUGUUUUUCUAAAAUGUUUUUGCAUGUUUUCAAGGUUUUAAGUAUGAAAAAAAAUUGAGUUUUGAAAGAAAAACACCAUGGAGGAAAAUCCAGGUUCGGCCGCCGAACCUCAUGUUCAGCUGCCGAACUUGGUGGAGUUUUGGAGUCACCUUUGGCUUCCGAAGGUGGUCUGGCUAGCCACCUAUAAAAUGCCCCAUGUCCGAAAAUGGGCGAGUUUUCUCCUCCAUUUUCGGGCAAAGGUGAAUUCAUGCCCUUCCAUGGUUGGUUUUGAGGUUUUCCUUUAAUCCUUUCAAGUUUUUAACAAGUUUUAUCUUGGUUUUGAAGAUUUUAAGUUCAAAAUCGAAGUUGAAAAGCUUGGAGACCCCAUAGCUCAAAUCCUCUCAAUCUCCAAGUUUGGGUCACGCCUUCUCUCGAUCUUCAAGAGGUAAGCGUCGAUCCUCAUCGUCUUUGAUGUUUUAAAUAAGUUUUAUGAAGGUUUAUGGGGUAGAAAUGCAUGUUUAAGCUAGUUGUAAAAAAUGUUAGGGUUUAUGUAGAUUUGAGGAUAAAUGUAUGUAAUGUGAUGUUAUGUUGUUGUUUGUUGGGGUUUAGGCUAGUUUUAUGCCCCUAUAUGCUUGAGAAUGAGUUUAUGCAUAUUGUAGAAUAGCUAAAUGUAUGUUUGGAAGGUUUAGGGAGGCAUUUGUGCAUGUGAGGGCUGAGUUUUGCCAUUUCUGGAAGAACUCAGAUUCGGCAGCCGAAGGCAUGUUCGGCCGCCGAACCUGCCUAUGGUGGCACUUUUGGCCGCCUAAGCUUGCCCCCGAAAGUUUAGACUUUCGGCUCUGGAGGGCAGUUUUGGCCGCCGAAGGUGCCGCCGAAGGUGCAUGACUUUCGGCUCUGGAGGGACUUUCGGCCGCCGAAAGUGCCCUGUUCAGCCUUCCUUUGCAUGUUUUCUAUGAAUGUUUUUGUGAUGUUUUAGGGGGUUUUUGGGGAGAUGUAUAGAGUUAUGUUAGUGUAUGUUUGGUCCCUCAUUUGAGUCCACCUGUGUAGAUUCGGACCCGAGGAACCGAGGACCCCAGCAGUGAGAUGACGCAUGAUUCAGCCAGAGGUGAGUAGAACUAACUAAUCUCUUAUUUCAAGAAAUUAAAUGUUUCAAGCAUGAUUCAUGCAUCAUGAUAUAUAAUAGGUUGAUUGCAUUAGAACUCACGAAUAUGACGCAUUGCAUUAUUCAUUGUGGGUGUGGAUGGACAACAGGACGACUCACUAGCCCUCCAGAUUUUUAUUGUAUGUAACAGAAGUCCUGAGGAGCCCCACCGAGGGCCGGGCACAGAGCUUAUUGUAUGUAACAGAAGUCCUGAGGAGCUCCUUCGAGGGCCGGGCACAGAGUGGAGGGAAUUUUGGAUCAGUCCAUCCGUGAUGUGAAUUAAUUGUGUUGUGACGCAUUCCAUGAAGCAUGUUUUAUAUAAUAUUUUAUUGUUCUGCUCACUGGGCUUUUUAGCUCACCCCCUCCCUUAACCUCUAGGCUUGCAGGUCAGAGUCAGAUCAGGAAGUGAGCAAGGGUAAAGAGGUAGUUAAUGUAAUAGUUUAGUGUGGAUAUGAUUUGUAAAUGUUAUAAAGUGUAAUGUAAUGUAAAGAUAUGAGUAUAGUAUUGUGCUUGGCCCUAUGGUCUGUUGUAAUCCUUUUUAUACAUGAUCUGUUUUUAUUAAGGUUUUAAUGAUAUUGAUGUUGAACCAAGCUCGUCUUAAGAGAGAUUGACCCAACUAGAGUAUUUGAUGAGGGCUCUAGUAUGGGGUUUAUUUGUUACAGGUAUUAUGUAUGUGAGACAGGCUUGGUAUAUGGAAAAGUUUAAUUUUUUUUUUUUUUAUGUAAAUGUUUGAUCAUGUAUGGGAUUUUAUCAGGUAUACAGGUUGCAGGUUAGACUUGCUACGGGUCCCGGCGACCUUAAGUCGAUUUGGAUCCUAACGCCGGUAGCGGUCCAGUUUCCGGGUCGUUACACUUCCAUAUCCGUAUCAUAUCAUAACCUGCUCGAGGGCUAGUGGGUCAUCCAAUAUCCAUCCACAUCAACAGCAAAUUAUGCAAUGAAUCAUAUUUGUGAAUUCUAAUGCAAUAACCUAUAAACAUGGCAAUCGUGAUGCAUGAACAUGCUCGAAAGUUUAGUUAUUUUAAAAAAUAAUAAGUAGUUCUGUUCUACUCACAUUGUAACGACCCGAAAAUCGGACCGCUACCGGCGCUAGGAUCCAGAUCGGCUUAAGGCCGCCGGGACCCGUAGCAAGCCUGACAUCUAACCUGUAAACCUGUACAAUCCCAUACAUGAUCAACAACAUACAUAAAAAUUAAAACUUUUCUUUAUAUGAACAUCAACCAAACUCAACCUGUACAUGCACUGUAUAUAACAUCAAUCAUAAGCAUUGAUCCCUCUGUGAGAUCUCAUCAGUGCCCCCAAUGGGUGGCAUAGCAUAUGUUGAGUUGGUUACAUAAACAUCAUAAAAGUCCAAGAUCAUGUAUUAAAAAAGGGAUACAACAAUCUAUGGUCAAACACACCUCUAGUAUCCAUAAACAUCAUCUAUACUGAUUAAAACAUUACAAUACAAUAUGAUCAUGUCCAUUACUAACUGUUACAUAAACAUGACUUCUUUACUCUAUCCGGACUCCUACUCUAUCCUGUACCUGCAAACCUGGGGGUAAAGGGAGAGGGGUGAGCUAAAAGCCCAGUGAGUAGAACUAUAAAACAUAUUAACACUAUGCUCCAAUGAAAUGCAUCAUAUCACAGACAAUUCACAUAAGGGUUGGGUGAACUUGUCACCAAUUAGUCCAAGCUAACAUUGUGCCAGGCCGUAGCAUGGGGUCCUGGUCUUCCUGUCAUAACAUACAUUACUUACCAUUGCCCCAGGGCCUCCUCUGGGUUCCUGGUCUUCGAGUCCCAUAACCGUGCCAGGCCGUAGAAUGGGGUCCUGGUCUUUCCUUACAUUGUGCCAGGCCGUAGAAUGAGGUCCUGGUCUUCCUGUCAUGGACUAAUUGGGUCAUCCAACAUUCACCCACAUCAACAACAAUCGAUGCAAUGCGGCAUAUUCGUGAAGCUAAUGCAAUCAUCCUAUUGCAUAAUCAUGAUGCAUGAAACAUGAUAAAACAUUUAAUUUAAAAAAAUUAAGUUUAGUUCCACUCACCUCUGGCUGACUCUGACAACACCGAAGCAGCUGAACUCACUGCUGGGGUCCUCGGUUCCUCGGGUCCGAACCUACACAGGUGGACUCAAAUGAGGGACCAAACACACCUGAACAUAACUAUAAACUACUCCCCAAAAACCCCCUAAAACAUCAUGAAACAACCAUACAAAAUCAUGCAAAGGAGGCCUGGAGAGGGCACUUUCGGCGGCAGGUUCGGCGGCCGAAAGUCCUUCCAGAGCCGAAAGUCAGGCAGGUUCGGCGGCACCUUCGGCGGCCGAAACUCCCAAACAGAGACGAAACUCAUGCAUGUUCGGCAGCACUUUCGGCGGCCGAAACUGCCAGACAGAGACGAAAGUCUCCCCUUUCUGGGGCAAGCUUCGGCAGCCGAAAGGCUGCCUCCCCAGCCAUGUUCGGCGGCCGAAAAUCCUUCGGCUGCCGAACCUGGUUUCUGCCAAAGGGCAGAAACUUGGCUCCCUUUGCACAUUUCGCCUCCAAACUUAUCAAACAUGCAUCAAACCUAUUCUACAACACACAAACACAAGCAUACAUGUUCCCAGGGGCCUCAAACCAACAUAAGCCCCAUCUACAACACAUCACGAAACUCACAUUGUUCAUGAACAUACAUUUAUACCCAUAAACUCCAAAAACAUAACCAUAAUCUAAACAUGCAUUCUAUCCCAUAGAUAUACUUAAAACUUACUUAAAACAUGCAAUGAGCUUAAGAUCGGCUCUUACCUCUUGAAGAUCAAGAGAGAGACGACUUAAACUCGAAAUUGGGAGAGAUUGGGUUCUUGAACCUCCAAGCUCCAAAACUUUGCUCAAAAGCUUUAAUCUUCAAAACAAAGUUAAAACAAAUGAAAAUCUUGAAAGAUUUAGAGGAAAGGCGUCAAAGAUGGGUGAGGGACGGCGGAGACUCACCUUGGCCGAAAAUGGGGAAAAAGCUCGCCUGUUUUCGGCUAAGGGACCCUUUUAUAGUGGCUGGCCAGACCACGUUCGGGGGCCGAAUGUGCCUCCGCAUGCAUGCCAUGUUCGGCGGCCGAACUUGGGGUUCGGCGGCCGAACCUGGACUUCCCUCACUUAUGCUUUCGGGGGCCUAAAGCACACCCGCAACGCAUGCAUGUUCGGCGGCCGAACUUGAGGUUCGACGGCCGAACCUGAGUUUUCCUCCAAUGCUAUUUUCAUGCAAAAACUCAUUUUCUUUCAUGCUUAAAACAUAAAACACAUUAAAACAUUUCAUAAAAACAUGGUUUUACCCUACUAGAGGCUUCCGACAUCCGAGAUUCCACCGGACGGUAGGAAUUUCGAUACCGAAGUCUAGCCGGGUAUUACACACAUCUGGCUGAAACUGAAACAACUAACUCACUGCUGAUCACCUCGGUUCCUCAGGUUCGAUCCUACACAGGUGGACUCAAAUGAGGGACCAAACAUACACUAUAAGAACUCUAAACAUCUCCCCAAAAACCCCCAAAAACACCAUAAAACAUGCAUGCAAAACAGGCAAGGGAAGGUUGGACAGGGGACUUUCGGCGGCAGGUUCGGCGGCCGAAGGUCCCUACAGAUUCGAAAGUCAGGCACUUUCGGGGGCAAGGUUCGGCGGCCGAAAGCCUUCACAGAUCCGAAAAUCACUAACCUUCGGGGGCAGGUUCGGCAGUCGAAACUCCCCUCCAGAGCCGAAAGUCCAUCUUUCAGGGGCGAGUUUAGGCGGCCAAAGGCUGCCUCCACAGGCAGGUUCGGCGGCCGAACCUGGGUUCUUCCGAAUGGCAAAACCCGGUUCUACCUUGCUCAUCCAGCCACCAAAACAUCCAAAACACGCAUCCAACUAUUCUAAAACAUGCAUAUACAUUCAUUCCUGCAUAAGGGGUAUAAAACUAGCCUAAACCCCUACAAACAUCAACAUAGCAUCACAUUUAUCAUUAAACUAACAUAAACCCUAACAUUUUAGAUCUAACCAAAACAUGCAUCACUACCCCUUAACCCUUCAUAAAACUUACUUAAAAACACAAGAGAAGAUGAGGAUCUACACUUACCUCUUGAAGACCAAAGGUAGAUGCGACCCAAACUUGGAGAUGAGGAGGAAACGGGUUCCGGAGGUCUCCAAGUUUCAAAACUUUGGAUUAAGCUUAAAAUCUUCAAAAACAAGAUAGAAACUCAUAAAAAUCAUGAGAGACUUGAAUGAAAAGCAUAAGAUCGACAAGGGGUGGCGGAGACUCACCUUGUCCGGAAAUGGAGAGAGAAAACUUGUCCAUUUUCGGACAGGGGGCCUUUUAUAGGUGGCUGGCCAGACCACAUUCGGGGGCCAAAGGUGCCUCCGUAUCCGCCCCAUGUUCGGCGGCCGAACCUGGACCCUUUCCUCAAUCUCUUUUCUUUUCUUCUUUAAAACUUUAACUCAAAACUAACCAUUAAAAUCAUGAAAAACAUUUUGUAAAAACAUGUUUUACCCUUCUAGAGGUCCCGACAUUCGAGAUUCCGGAUUCCAAUAGAGAUUCCGUCGGAAGGUUGAAAUUUUGACGUCAGAGUCUAGCUGGGUAUUACACGACACUUAAAUUAUUUCUAUAUAGCUAACUUUCUAGUUCUAUAACAAAAAAAUUUAAUAAAAAGAGACUUUCAAUAAAAUUUAAAAAGUUAGGACUAAAAUAAAUUUCCAUAGAGAAAAGAACUCUAAUCUUUAUGAGCAAUAAUAGGACAUUUGCCUAUGACCAAUUGCCCGCCAUUUUUAUCUCAUACUCACUAGAAAAGUCAAAGCAACAUCAAUAAAGAUUUCACUCCAUUAGAAUUACACACACGGCUGAUCAUCCAAUCGGUUUGAUUUAAAAUUGAAUUGAAUCGAAUAAAUCAAAAAUUGAAAUUUUAGUGUUUGCAAAAAUCAAAUUGAACUAAUUUUAGUCAGAAACUAAAUCAAACUGAAUCGGUCUGAUUCGGUUUGAUUCAAUUCGGUUUGAUCGGUUUUGAUUUUUAAUAAUUUUUUAUUUUUUACGCUUUAUUUUUAAUAUUUUAAAAUUUAAUUAAAAUAUUUUAAUUUUAAUAUAAUUUAAUUUCUUUAUAUUAUUGAAAAUAAUAUAUUAUUAUUAUUAAUCGGUUCGGUUCAGUUUUUUUGAUUUUUUUUAUUAAAAUCGAACCGAACCGAAAUAAUCGAAAUUUUUAAAAUUAAAAAUCAAACCAAACCGAAUUGAAUAAAAAAUUAAACUGAAUUUUUAAAUUAAUUCAAUUCGAUCGACUUUUUCAGUUUGAACCAAAUAUGGCUCACCCCUAAUUACGCAUCCUCCAUUUUCUUUUAUGUUUUUUACAAUACAAAUGGAGUAGAUGUUAUUAAACACUUUAAUUUUAACUGUGAUAUAAUAAAUGUAUAGAAUUUAAAAAAUAUUAUUUUUAAAUAUUUAUAAUAUUAUUAUUAAUAUUAAAAUAUCUAAUAAAUAAAAAUACUAAAAUACCGUUAGCAAAUGCAAAUUCUCACUUAAACUCUCCUCUUCUCUUCAAAGGAAAGGCGGAAGAAGCAAGUUCUUAGCUAAGGGCUUUCCAUUGAAUCCAAUUUUUUCUUUUUUAAUAAUAAAAAUACAAGGAAACAAAGGCUGCUGGUGCUGACUCUUCACUGAAAAGAGUAACAAGACAAGAAUCCAUUAUGUUCGCCCUUUUUUAUUUUUUCUUUAAUCCAAUAUUGAAUCUGAUGACUAAACCUUUUUCUUUUCUCUUCUCUCUCUAACCGCCCCCCCUCCCCCACCUUCUGAAAAAUUAAAAAAAAACAACAACAAACCCUUGGCUUCCUUCUUCUGCAAGAUCUACAAGGUACAUGCACUAUCUUCAUCCAUUUUCUUUAAGAUUAAUGGUAUAAUUUACUUUUUCUUGUCUAUCAUUCUGCACAUUCAGUGCUUGACUUUCCAUUUAUUUAUUAUGAACUUGGAUUUUUUUUGUUUACUGUUUUUGUUUUUAGGGUUUAUCAGUCUCUUUGUAUUUUUCUCCUUUCUUGGUCUUUUGGUUAUAAAGAUAUCAUCUUUUCUGGAUUCUGAAAUUUACCCAGACACUAUUUUCGAUGGGCGAACACAUUGAUAAGGAUGUUUCUGGUAGUACUGUUUUGGAAUCGUCUAAAGAGACUGUAAGUGAUCGCGUAGCUAGUGGAGAUAGUGCGGAAACCCGAGUCGUUGAGGCAGUUGCUAGUGACGAUCAGUUUCAAGGUCAGGGUGUGAGUAAGGGAUCCUCAGCUGAAGGGGUGGUGACGGAGAAAGGCGGCUCUUGUAAUGGGGCGGAUACAGUGGCUGGGGUUAUGGGUUCUGAUAUAUACGUUGAUGGUGUUUGCACACGUAAUUCUGGCGGGGAAAAUUUGAGUGAAGAAGCAACUAAAAGUCAUGGUCAGUCAAGGGAGUUGGCCUCAGAGGGAGAUGUAAAAGCUGUAGGUGGUGGGUGUGGUGAUUCUAAUUCUAAGGUCGAUGAGGAUCCAAGUGAGGAAGCAUCAAAUUUGGGAACCGAGAGUGAGGUUGAGAAGUCUUCUGUGUUUGCUGAUUCUAAAGAAGGAGAGUUGGUGGAGGAUGGGGCAAGAGUUUGGGAGGAAAAACUGGGACUGGAGAUUGAGGUUGGAAAUUCUUCUGGAGUUGCUGAAUCUAAAGAAGAAGGAGAAUUAGUGGAGAAUGCGGCAAGUGUUAGGGAGGUAGACUUGAGGUCAGAUUCAGAAACUGAGGUUGGAACUUCUUCUGAGCUUGCAGAAUCUAAAGAAGAAGGAGAAAUGGUGGAGGGUGAUACAAGAGUUAGGGGUGUCAAUUUAGCAACUGGCUGUGAGAUUAAGUGUUCUGGAGUUGCAGAAUCUAAAGAAGAAGGUGUAUUGGUGGAGGGUGUGGCAAGAGUUAGAGAGAUCACUGGUGCUGAUGGGUGUUGUGUUGCUGAUGGUAUUACUUUGCAUGAAAUUGAUGCUGGGAAUCCUCAGAAUGUGGGAAUCAAAAGUGCAGUUGAAGAUUCUUCUCUUCUUGAAGGAUCCAGUGUAGGGGAAACCAAAAAUGUAGUUGAGAAAGAAGCAGUGGGUGCUGGGAAGGAAAGUUUGGAGGGAGGAUUGGGGAAGGAGUGUGUUGAGAAAGUUGAGAUGCAUUUUGUUAAGGACAUGAUUUCUCAGGAAGUUAGGGAUUCAGAGAAUGAAGCAUCGAAUCGAGGAGUUGAAAAUUUUGAAGAUUCCUCUGCAGGUUUGGGUUCUUCAGUAGUUGAAGCCCAAGAUAUUGCUGCAGAGAAAUCUGAAUUGGUUGAGGAGGUUAUGGAUCAGGCUAAGGAAACACAUGACAAUGAGGGAGCUGUGCUUCAAAAUUCAGAACCAGAAAAGGUUGGUGCUUUGGAUGUUGAGGAAUGGAAUCCUGGAAUAAGAACUGCAGGUGCACCUUCUUCAACCAUCAAGGAAGGUUCAUGCUUAAAGACUCACUGUAUUGAGGAGGAAGCUGCCGUGAUGGCUGAUAUUGGAAAUUUAGAUCCCAAAGUUGAAACAGUUUUGGAGGGGACACAUGGUACUGAUUCUGUGGAGGGGGUUGUAUCCAGUUCUGAGAAAGAUUUGGUUUCAAUAGAAAAAGAUGCCAUUACCAAUCCAACCUCCAAAUGCUUGGAUGGACAAACACAAGUUGCUGUUGAUGGGAAAAUGUCAUCAACGGAUGUUGAGGCAUGGAAUCCAGGAAUCAAAACUGCAGGUGCACCUUCUUCAACCAUCAAGGAAGGUUCAAGCUUAAAGGCCCAACAUAUUGAGGAGGAAGCUGCCGUGACAGCUGAUAUUGGAAAUUUAGAUCCCAAAGUUGAAACAGUUUUGGAUGGGACACAUAGGACUGAUCCUGUGGAGGGGGUUGUAUCCAGUUCUGAGAAAGAUUUAGAAAAAGAUGCCAUUACCAAUCCAACCUCCAAAUCCUUGGAUGGACAAACACAAGUUGCUGUUGAUGGCAAAAUUUCAUCAAAUGAGGAGAUUGCUUGUCCUAACAUUGAAGGUAUGGACACUGACGCUUUUAAUGAAAAUUUUUGUUUUUCAGUGGAAGAACUGCAGGCUGUGGUUGAGACACCCAAUGGAAGCACUGAAAAUCACUGUGAUGCAUUUGCAGAUUUGCAAUCUUCACAACAGCCAACUCAAGUAGUUGUUGGAGGUGAAGUUGCGGCAACUGAGAACAAGGUGCAUAAGAAUUCUGAAAAUGAAAGGAAAUUAAUAAUUGAAGAGUCCUCAGACCAGAUGAUGCCUCGUGAUUUUGCUCUGGCUCAGUCAACCGUAGAUCCAGAGAUGGGAGUUGAUGAACAAGUUACUGGUUCUGAGCAAGCUAGUAUGCAGAAAGAUCCAGGUAAGGUAGAGACCGCAAAUGCAAUUGUGAGCACUGAAAUUCACAGCCCGAAAGGUUUAGAUUUGGUGUCGUCUCAUCAGUCUGCACCUGCACUUGUUGGUGAUGAAGUUGUAGAAAUGAAUAAUAAGAUUGAUUCAGAUACUAAUUUCGAGGGUCAGGUAGUUAUGCAUUUGGAUGGAAUGUUAUCAUCAUCAGGAAAUGAACAGCAUGUAAAGACUGAGGUGGACUCUAUGGAAAUAGAUACUCACACUGCUUCAACUAACAAGGAUAAGGUUCAUUCAACUGCCAACGUUUCAGAUCCUGCUGAAAAAGACCCGGAGGUGAAGGUGAAAGAACACAUAGACAAGAGUGAAGCUUGUGAUUCUGAUCAGAGUAAUCCAAACAUAGGGCAGCUGAUGGAUGCUCAAGAACAGGUUACUCAUUUUGAACAGCUUGGAAAAGAAGAAACAGAGGUAGUAGAACUGAACUCAGAGGCCGGAACAGUUUGUGGAAGCAGAGAAACAGAUACCCUAUUAAUUAAUGGACCCGAUACUGGACUUCAGGGGCCACCUGAUGGGGAUCAGACUCUGACAGUUAAAGAAGACUUGGAUGCAAGUGCAGGUCAGGAUGUUUCUGAGAUUGGAUCAAGUGCAGCAACAGAAACAGUGGUUGAAGAGCAUGAUGCUUGUCUUGAUCAGGUUGGCUUGCAAGAAAGGCAAGAAAUGGAAGCUGAAGGACAGGAUACUGACUUUGAACAGCCAAAUACCUCUGAAGAGAAAUUUGCUAAACAAGAAGCUCCAAAUUCUGGAAGCACUGUAAUAGAAUAUCAAGCUUGUUAUCAGCUACCACCAGAUGAUGAAGGUGAGUUCACUGUAUCCGAUUUGGUCUGGGGCAAAGUGAGGAGCCAUCCGUGGUGGCCUGGACAGAUUUUUUAUCCUUCUGAUGCCUCUGAGAAAGCAAUGAAGUAUCAUAAAAAGGACUGUUUUCUGGUAGCAUAUUUUGGGGAUCGUACAUUUGCGUGGAACGAGGCAUCUCUGCUAAAGCCUUUCAGGUCACAUUUCUCCCUGGUUGAGAAGCAGAGCAAUUCUGAAGCAUUCCAGAAUGCUGUUGAUUGUGCUCUGGAAGAAGUUUCAAGGCGUGUAGAGUUUGGGCUGGCCUGCUCAUGCAUACCAAAGGAGACUUACGAUGAAAUUAAAUUUCAAAUAGUAGAGAACACUGGAAUUCGAGAAGAAGCAAGUGUAAGAGAUGGUGCAGACAAAUCCUUGCCUGCUGAUUUAUUUGAACCUGGUAAAUUAAUGGAGUAUAUGAAAGCAUUAGCACAAUGCCCAGCUGGUGGAGCUGAUCGUUUGGAACUUGUCAUUGCCAGGUCCCAAUUACUGGCCUUUUAUCGCUUAAAGGGUUAUUCUCAGUUGCCUGAAUUCCAGGUUUGUGGAGGUUUGUUGGAGAAUGCGGGCACUUUAGAAUUUGCAGAUGAAGUGAUUGAGCAUACAUAUCCUGUUUAUAAGGAUGAUGGACAAAUAUCAUCUGAUCAGGAGUUUUCACAUGCUCUAAGAAGUUCUUAUCACAAGCGCAAGCAUAAUUUGAAGGAUACUGUCUAUCCCAGGAAGAAAGAAAGAAGUUUGUCUGAAUUAAUGGGUGAUUCAUGGGAUUGUGUAGAUGAUGAAUUUGGUCCUGAUGGGAAAGCUAACAAUAAGUUAGUUUCACCAUCUUCUGGGAGGAAGCGGAAGGUCUAUGAUUCCUUUCCUGAUGACUCGGCUACAGCGGAAGGGAGAAAGACUAUCUCUCUUGCAAAUGUCUCGACUACUGCAUCUAAGCCUUCAUUCAAGAUUGGUGAAUGCAUCCGUAGAGUCGCUAGCCAGAUGACUGGGUCUACCUCCAUACUGAAGUCUAAUAACAUGAAGCAAGACGGAAGCAGUGAUCGACUUAUUGGGGAUGGAUCUGAUGCUUUAUUCCAACAUUCUGAGGAUGCUGAGAUGAGCAGAACAAUUGUUCCCACAGAAUACUCAUCCUUGGAUGAAUUGCUAUCACAGCUUCACUUGGCAGCACAAGAUCCCUUUAAAGGAUAUAGUUUCUUGACCAUCAUUGUUAGUUUUUUCUCUGAUUUUAGGAACUCGGUAAUUGUGGAGCAGCAUGAGAAAGUAGGUGGUAAAAGGAAACAAGCAUCUCAUUCAAUUGGUGGUUUGUCUGAAACAUUCGAAUUUGAGGAUAUGAGCGACACUUAUUGGACUGACCGGGUUAUUCAAAAUGGUUCUGAAGAGCAACCACGUAAAAGCCGAAAACGAGAUAAUCAACUUGUGCUUGCUAAUCAGGAUAAGGCUCUUAAUAUGUCAAACUCUAGAAAGCGGUAUUCUGAUGGCAAUCAUGACCUAUCAGCAGAGAAACCAGUGGGUUAUAUAGAUGAGAAUGCACCAGCAGAACUUGUUAUGCAUUUUCCUGUGGUGGAUUGUGUUCCUGCAGAAACAAGCCUGAAUAAGAUGUUUAGACGGUUUGGGCCUUUAAAAGAGUUAGAAACAG
rnacentral:lncRNA from 1 species